UACGUAGGGGGCAAGCGUUAUCCGGAUUUAUUGGGCGUAAAGAGCGUGUAGGCGGCCAUGUAGGUCCGUUGUGAAAACUCGAGGCUCAACCUCGAGACGCCGGUGGAAACCGUAAGGCUAGAGUCCGGAAGAGGAGAGUGGAAUUCCUGGUGUAGCGGUGAAAUGCGCAGAUAUCAGGAGGAACACCCGUGGCGAAAGCGGCUCUCUGGGACGGUACUGACGCUGAGACGCGAAAGCGUGGGGAGCAAACAGG
rnacentral:rRNA from 1 species